rnacentral:rRNA from 1 species
UACAGAGGUGGCAAGCGUUGUUCGGAAUUACUGGGCGUAAAGGGCGCGUAGGCGGCUUGGUCAGUCCCGUGUGAAAUCCCUCGGCUCAACUGAGGAACUGCACGGGAAACUGCCUGGCUUGAGUUUGGGAGAGGGAAGCGGAAUUCCGGGUGUAGCGGUGAAAUGCGUAGAUAUCCGGAGGAACACCGGUGGCGAAGGCGAGUUCCUGGACAGUUACUGACGCUGAGGCACGAAGGCCAGGGGAGCAAACGGG